rnacentral:rRNA from 1 species
ACUCCUACGGGAGGCAGCAGUGAGGAAUAUUGGUCAAUGGGCGCAAGCCUGAACCAGCCAUGCCGCGUGCAGGAAGACUGCCCUAUGGGUUGUAAACUGCUUUUAUACAGGAAGAAACACUCCCUCGUGAGGGAGCUUGACGGUACUGUAAGAAUAAGGAUCGGCUAACUCCGUGCCAGCAGCCGCGGUAAUACGGAGGAUCCAAGCGUUAUCCGGAAUCAUUGGGUUAAAGGUCCGUAGGUGGAUUAGUAAGUCAGAGGUGAAAUCCUGCAGCUCAACUGUAGAACUGCCUUUGAUACUGCUAGUCUUGAGUCAUUAUGAAGUGGUUAGAAUGUGUAGUGUAGCGGUGAAAUGCAUAGAUAUUACACAGAAUACCGAUUGCGAAGGCAGAUCACUAAUAAUGUACUGACACUGAUGGACGAAAGCGUGGGAGCGAACAGGAUUAGAUACCCCUGGUAGCGACUGA